rnacentral:lncRNA from 1 species
CUGAAGUACUUUAAUUUCGUAGGGUGAAAAUGAAACAACUGUUACUGCUCAUUCUUUGCUUCUCUUAGCACCCAGCUGUUUCUCAACAGCAGGGAAUCUGACUUAGGGCAUCUGAUUAUGACCAUGUGAUAUUUUGCAAACUCAAAUCUUUUUCCCCAUAAAAGCAAAUAGAGGUGGUAGCUGGGCUCACGGGGUUAAUAUUGUCACAUGCUGACAUGCUUUAUCACUUAAUUAUUUUUCUGUCAAAUUUCAAAGACUUCUAGCUAUAGUUCAGGUUUUUUAUUUUUAUUUUUUCAGUCUCCAAAUCACAGCAACUAUUUGAAAUGCAGUGAUCACAAGGAGACUAUUCUGUUCAUUUUGUACUUCUGAAGGAAAAUAAAUGUGCUCUGGAGAAAAUUCUUUGCUUUAAAAGUAAGCUCAAAAUUUUGUAGCUAAGAGCAAUAUAAUAUCAGCACAAUUUUUCCUUCAUAUGGAAUUUGUCAAGGUCUCCCCCCUCCAGUUAUGUAAUUUCCUAGAUAUUUUGCUCAGUAAUAAUCUUUAAAUUACAUUUAAAAAAAAAUAAUAAAACACAUGUAAAAGCUAUUUUGAUAGGAAACUUCCACAGCAGAUUUUGCUACCAAGUUAGAAGGCAUCUAUGCAACUGGCAGAAGCAAUCAUAAUGUUUUUAGCUAUUGUCCUAAGAACUCAUGAGAGUUAUGAAACUGGAAGUGUCCUCCAUGCUUUGCCUAGGAGCACCUACCACAGGGGAGACUCCUGCAGCUCUUGGUUUGUGAAGAUCAGACAGGAGAGGCAGCCAUCAGAUAAAGAAGAGAGAUCAAAACAGAAAAUUGCAUAGGGCUAUGGAAACCUUACAGAGGAUUUUUUUAGGAAAUGCUGUUAUAGCUGAAAUUCUGCAAGAGCCCUAUGUUUUUCCACAAAGUUGUUCAAAAAUGAUCAAAGACUCACAUGAAG